rnacentral:rRNA from 1 species
UGCGUAGGCGGAAGAUUAAGUCAGUGAUGAAAUCCUGCAGCUCAACUGUAGAACUGUCAUUGAUACUGAUUUUCUUGAAUACAGUUGAGGUAGGCGGAAUAUGUAAUGUAGCGGUGAAAUGCUUAGAUAUUACAUAGAACACCAAUUGCGAAGGCAGCUUACUAAACUGUGAUUGGCGCUGAGGCACGAAAGCGUGGGGAGCGAACAGGAUUAGAUACCCUGGUAGUCC